rnacentral:rRNA from 1 species
AUGGGCGGCGGCAACGCGCAGAAGUCCAAGAUGGCGAGGGAGAGGAACCUCGAGAAGCUGAAGGGCGGCAAGGGGAGCCAGCUCGAGGCCAACAAGAAGGCCAUGAACAUCCAGUGUAUAAUUAGUCUUGACAAAACAAUCUUGGCAGUCAUGUUGCCUACGAGUUCAUCAAAUUUCUUGUCUGCCAAUGGAUGUGCACCAUAUUGGAUAGCUGAAAUGUGCAAGAUAUGCAUGCAGACUUUCAUCUGCACCACCUCUGAAGCAAAGUGCAAGGAGCAUGCUGAGGCGAAGCAUCCGAAGAGCGACCUCGUCCAGUGCUUCCCCCACCUCAAGCAGUGA